GCGACGGACUGUCAAAUGGCAGCGUCACAGGGAAACCUGUGAAUGAAAAUCGGGUGAACUCAGGGAAUGUCCUUCGUGGAAGAAUCCUGAGCCAAGCCCGCCGAAGGGCAAGUAGUAGGCGGGAAGGUGCAGAGACUAGGGGGUGAGCAGCCCAAGCAAUAAGCCCCCAUCAGCGCCCGACACCCUACCGGGUCAUGCCGAGGGUGAUGAGAUAGUCCAGCGCGCAAGCGUUGU
rfam:Burkholderiales bacterium RIFCSPLOWO2_02_FTLL_57_36 rifcsplowo2_02_scaffold_259204, whole genome shotgun sequence.